rnacentral:lncRNA from 10 species
CUAAGAUUGAAAUUGGAACAUAGAAUGUCACCACAUGAAUCCUCUAGAUUGACAGAGAAUGUGGUUGAGGGAGGAAUGGUAAAGAAUUAACUAUUUUAAAACAAUUUCAUUGCAUAUGAAAAUUCUAAAAGAAUAUGUUCUUUAGCCACAGGAAAUGGUUUUUAAUAAUAAUAGUGGUUCGGAUAAUAAUGGAAUAGAAAUAGAGCAUUGUUAUAAACUUGUAUGAAUGCAAAAAUUUUUGACUAAACCUUUAAAAAGAAGUCAAGUCCUAUUCUUGAAGCAAUUCAUAAAUUUUACCAAGAUGGUGUCUUUACAUUGUUUUAGUCUUGAACUAGAAGAUGAAAGCAUCAAAUAAAGAAAUAUACUGUGGGUAUAUGGAUUACAAAAAAAGUGCUGGAUGUUCCAUGCCCUCAAACAUUGGACUCCAAGCUCUUCAGCUUUGGGACUUCAACUGGCUUCCUUGCUCCUCGGCUUACAGAUGGCCUAUUGUGGGACCCUGUGAUCGUGUGAGUUAAUAUGCCUUAAUAAACUCACCUUUAUACAUACAUCAAUCCUAUUAGUUCUGUCCCUCUAGAGAACUGUGACUAAUACAGAUUUUGGUACCAGGAGUGGUUCUAGAGGAAAAGAAUAUUAAAAAUGGAGUUCUUUUGUUGGUUUUCAGGUUUCUGGAGUUGGCUUCUUAAAGUGAUUAGCCAUAAAAAUGCUAAGGACUCUAAUUCUAAUAGUAUGGAGAACAGACAGUCCUUGGUGUGAACAAUUUAGAGAGUUAUUAUGCAAAAUAAAUGCAUUUGAUACUCUUGAUUCACCGCUCAUGAAAGGCAAGGAGUUUAGUGACUCAAUACCUAAUACCUUUGACCAUAUGUGGAGAACCAAGGAACAUAAUGAAGUUGGUUGGUUG